ensembl:lncRNA
UGCGGCGUAAAAAAACCCAAAGGAGGCGAGUCUGGACGAAGAAAGUUUCUCCUUCCUUCCUGGAUGCGGAGCGGGAGUUUGCAUACCUCACCGCGCGGCUUUCCACGAAGCUUUUGGAGUGUUUCUUAUCCAGAUAGCUAAGAUCAACAGGAAGCUAGAUGUGUUCCUUUGCAUCACAGAAGGCCACUCUGCAGCAAAUCUGUGUGGAAUGAGAACUGUGUCGUCCCCUGGUGGUUUGUUAAUAAACACCAGUUUCUCAGAUUUCAACCCCAGAAAUACAGAAAAUGUUAAAAACCUGCCCAGUAAACAAAACAAACAAAAACAGUGUAUUCAAAAAGAUUAAAACAAAUAUCAAAAAUCAAAAGCAAAACCUCAGCUAACAUAUCGAACUGUUUACAUGUUCACAAAAAAACAAAUGACAUUAGGCAUAACAUGCUCUUGGUUGAUGCCAAUACAUUCCUAUAGGGUGGUACUAUAAGCUGAAACAUCUUUGCAUAACAGGUCUGCUUCUCUGAUCCAGGAUGACCGCCAAAAGUGCUGUCAGGCCCGAUGAAGGCCUGAUGAUGAUGCAGGAGCUUGAUGACCGCCUGAAAGAGCAGAUUGACAAACUGGAGCAUGUUCGCCUUGGUGCUGUUGAACUGAAGGAUAACUUGUCUGGGAGCAACAGUGAUCUAAGCCAGUCUAUCAGUGACCAUUUGGAGUGGCUGAAUCACCUGUCUGAGCGAGUUGAGACUCUUCACAUGAACACCACUGUUUUUAUUCAGAUGAAUCCAAAACCUCGUGCAUGGGCAGGAAAACAGAGUUCCAAAUAUGGGUACCGCUGGGGUCGUCUCCACCAAGCAGAUGAUGCUCUGUCAGAGUGUGGCUGGUCCCCCAUUCGCACACGACGUGGCAGCGAUGCGGCCUCUGAAAUGUCCUGUAAUUGGUGACCGUUUAACCAGCUCCAUAUGUCAGCUGAGGUUUCAAAAUAACAUGACAAUGCUUCACAUUUUGUUAUAGCUAUAGUUUUCAUGCAUUUAAUACUUUAAUGUGGUUUUCUUCUGGUGUGUACUAUGUUACUGAACACCCUGUAUUGUUAAUAAAACCAUGGCUUUUGAUUUUUAUUUUGUAAGA